GACGGGAAGAGAGAAUGCCGGAAUGAGUAGCGAGAGGAAGGUGGGAAUCCUUCCGGCCGAAUAUCCAAGGUUUCCAGGGUAAAGCUGAUCUGCCCUGGGGAAGUCGGGACCUAAGGCGAGGCCGAAAGGCGUAGCCGAUGGACAACAGGUUGAUAUUCCUGUACUGCGGGAUAACAGAACUGUGGGGACGUAUGCGGGAACCAUGAGCCGGGAACGGAAAGCCCGGUGCAAGCAGAAGAGGUGGCGGGGAGGCAAAUCCCCCCGUCAAGCCGGGGCUGUGACGCGGAGCGAAGAAGAAGUAGCGAAGCAUGGAGAGCGCGUACCGGGAAAAGCCGCUAUAGUUUAUCCUGUACCCGUACCGUAAACCGACACAGGUGGAUGGGGAGAGAAUCCCAAGGCCGACGGGAGAAGCAUUGUCAAGGAACUCGGCAAAAUGGCCCCGUAACUUCGGGAGAAGGGGUGCCUGCGAAAGCAGGCCGCAGAGAAAAGGCUCAAGCAACUGUUUAGCAAAAACACAGGUCUAUGCAAAACCGGAAGGUGAAGUAUAUGGGCUGACGCCUGCCCGGUGCCGGAAGGUUAAGAGGAGGGGUUAGCGCAAGCGAAGCUCUGAAUCCAAGCCCCGGUAAACGGCGGCCGUAACUAUAACGGUCCUAAGGUAGCGAAAUUCCUUGUCGGGUAAGUUCCGACCCGCACGAAAGGCGUAAUGAUUUGAGCACUGUCUCGACAAUGCACCCGGUGAAAUUGAAGUGCCAGUGAAGAUGCUGGCUACCCGCGCCAGGACGGAAAGACCCCAUGGAGCUUUACUCCAGUCUGGUACUGGGAUCUGGUGCUGCAUGUACAGGAUAGGUGGGAGGCUAUGAAGGAAGGACGCCAGUUUUUCCGGAGCCGCUGUUGGGAUACCACCCCUGCAGUACCGGGUUUCUAACCAGCCGCCGUAAGCCGGCGGUGGGACAAUGCCAGGCGGGGAGUUUGACUGGGGCGGUCGCCUCCGAAAGGGUAUCGGAGGCGCUCAAAGGUUCCCUCAGGAUGGACGGAAACCAUCUGAAGAGUGCAAAGGCAGAAGGGAGCCUGACUGCGACACCGACGGGUGGAGCAGGUACGAAAGUAGGACUUAGUGAUCCGGUGGCAGAACGUGGGAUUGCCAUCGCUCAACGGAUAAAAGCUACCCUGGGGAUAACAGGCUUAUCACUCCCAAGAGUUCACAUCGACGGAGUGGUUUGGCACCUCGAUGUCGGCUCAUCGCAUCCUGGGGCUGCAGCAGGUCCCAAGGGUUGGGCUGUUCGCCCAUUAAAGCGGUACGCGAGCUGGGUUCAGAACGUCGUGAGACAGUUCGGUCCCUAUCCGGCGCGGGCGAAGGAGAUCUGAGAGGAGCUGUCCCCAGUACGAGAGGACCGGGAUGGACGGACCACUGGUGCAUCUGUUGGCACGCCAGUGCCAUGGCAGGGUAGCCAAGUCCGGACGGGAUAAACGCUGAAGGCAUCUAAGCGUGAAGCCCCCCUCAAGAUGAGAUGUCCCAUUCGAAAGAAGUAAGACCCCUUGGAGAGUACGAGGUAGAUAGGGCAGGAGUGGAAGUGCAGCAAUGGAUGGAGCUGACUGCUACUAAUCGGUCGAGGGCUUGACCUU
rnacentral:rRNA from 1 species